rnacentral:rRNA from 1 species
GGGCCCGCACAAGCAGCGGAGCAUGUGGUUUAAUUCGAAGCAACGCGAAGAACCUUACCAAGGCUUGACAUCCUAAGAAUCCUAAAGAGAUUUGGGAGUGCCCUUCGGGGAACUUAGAGACAGGUGGUGCAUGGUUGUCGUCAGCUCGUGUCGUGAGAUGUUGGGUUAAGUCCCGCAACGAGCGCAACCCCUAUUGUUAGUUGCUACCAUUAAGUUGAGCACUCUAGCGAGACUGCCGAGGUUAACUCGGAGGAAGGUGGGGAUGACGUCAAAUCAUCAUGCCCUUUAUGCCUUGGGCAACACACGUGCUACAAUGGCCGGUACAAAAAGUUGCAAACCCGCGAGGGGGAGCUAAUCUCAAAAACCGGUCCCAGUUCGGAUUGUAGGCUGCAACUCGCCUACAUGAAGCUGGAGUUGCUAGUAAUCGUGAAUCAGAAUGUCACGGUGAAUGCGUUCCCGGGCCUU